rnacentral:lncRNA from 1 species
UAUUGAUGCGGAUGCCAUGUUUUCUGAAGACAUUAGCUAUUUUGGUAGCCCUUCUUUUCGUCGUUCAUCACUUUCCAGGCUAGGCUCAUCUCGAGAGAGAGACUCUGAGCUGUUGCGUGAACGUGAAUCCGUUUUACGUUUACGUGAACGAAGGUGGCUUGAUGGAGCCUCAUUUGAUAAUGAAAGGGGUUCUACCAGCAAGGAAGGAGAGCCAAACUUGGAUAAGAAGAAUACACCUGUUCAAAGUCCAGUAUCUCUAGGAGAAGAUUUGCAGUGGUGGCC